CCAUCUUUGUCUCAAACAAAAAUACUCCCUCACCCUCUCACCCCACGAAGCCCCGCAUGCGAACCCUAGCGCUAUCCCUUGCAGCCGCCUCCCACCGCUGCUCCAGAUCCAGAUCCGCCUCCCUCUCCGCUCGCCGCCGGUCUGCACCCUCCCCUCCCCUCCCUCUCCCUUACCUUUGCCGCCCAUCUUCGCCACCGCGCAUCCACAGGAGCAACACGAGCGGCGCGCCAUGGGGCGGCACCACCGACUUUUCUCAUCACCGGUCGCCGUGGAAUGGAAAUAAGGGGCUGGGUUGUCGCCGCGCGCUGUUCCUGCAGGUUGUCGCUGCGGGGGCCGGCUGCACCCUCCUCCCGCUCGCGGAGGAUGACGAGGGCGAGGACGCGGAGGCCGACAAGGGGGGAGGCGGUGGAGGGGUGCGCCGGGUGGCCAUCCGGUGUGGGCGGCCUCCCACUACGACCUCACGCGCCGGGCGCGCGCGCUGGCACAGCCCUGGGUCACCCGCUGCGUCCACGCCGAGACGCCCUCCAUCCUCACCUUCUAGGCGGGGCGCAACGAGACGAUGCUCGACCUGGCCAAGUUCGUCAACAAGGGCGUCCAGGUCAAGCUCACCGGCGGCGAGCAAGGCACGCCCCGAUGCUCCCUCCCCUCGCUCUGGGCACCCGAUGCCAGGCAGGCUGUGGAUGCCCCGAACCUCAAGGCCGGCCGUGCUACUCCAGCUGCUCCUGCCUCGGUCGUGCUCAACUUUGCUCCUGGUCAGUUGCCGCAGGAUCUAAUGUUGUUUAGGCUGUUGUUGCUGUGACGGAAGAUCAGAAGAGGCAUGGAGAUGCGCAACACAGUUUUAGUUGAUGUUGCACCAUGUUUUGGUGCUUGUGUAUCUGUUUUUGCUUGUAUCUGCUAAGUUUAGUUGAUGUUGGGCAUGCGAACAUGUAUGUGAUGUUGUGUGUAGUUGGCUGAAUGAUUUCUGAAUUUAAUCAUUUAAUCAAGAGAA